UAUUUUUCCUUAAUUUUUUUUCUUUCCCUUCCUCACUCAUUUCUUAGAUUUUUUUUUGGUGGAAAUGAAAGAAGAGAGGUGAAAUAAAUUUUUGGAUGUUGUAUUUUAACUUAUUUUGAUUUGGAAUGAGUGAUUAGGCCAAGUGCAAAAAGGUAAUAUUUACAGUUUUCGGAACAUCUCUUGACUUGUCAAUAGGGGUAUGGAUGUGUAUUGGCUAAAUUUGUAAAAGUGAUUGCUACAAUCUUUCUGAAUUUUGGAUAUAUAUUUGGACUAGGACUAUACAUUACACACACAAAAAAUUGGACAAAAGUGUGCAUGGUGCAAUUUUUUUAAUGAUGCAAAAGGUUAUAAAGAACUGAUAGAGGAAUUAAUUGUGGUCUGUGGCCUAAGAGGUGCAUUUCAGCAAAUUUUGAAUUUUUACUUUGGCAUCUUCUCUGAAUGAUCUAUUGGUAUUAAUUUGUCAAACUACAUGAGAAGAAAUGAUUUUCACUUUCAUUUGAUAGAAAUUUUUUGAAAAAGUCACUUUUCAGGUUAAAUGCCCAAAAUGUAGCUUUUUCACUUUUUUCAAUAUUUUUUCAAAAACAGCAUGCUUAAUUUGUCUCUGACAGGUUUUUUCUGAUAUCUAUUUGUGUUUGUGGUAUUUAUUUCAGUUGUUUAACUUAUUUGUGAACUCUGAACACAAAAAAAAGUAGAUAAAAACAUAAAAAGAGUGCAAAAUGGGCUGUUUUAAUAGUCUAAGUCUAACGGUCAGUAUACGCAGCAGGUGAAAUGUGAAGUUCUAUGCACUUAAAAGUUGUAUUCCUAAACAGAUUGCACUGAAUCUAUAUAAAAAACACUUAUUACUGGUUGCUUAACCAUUUCUGUUUCACAGAUUACCUUUACUUUCUUCUUUUGGAUAGCUAGUGGUUAAAAUAUUGACCUUUUGAGGCUGAAAUUUCAUUCAGGUUUUAAACAGUAAAGUUAAUAAACUUUGCAUCAGACCAUACUGUCUACAUAUAUAGUUGAAAGUGACAGUCUUGUUACAUCCAGGCUCCAUGUUUUAUCAUAUCUAAGCACAGAUUUAAGCAAAAAGAAGCAUAUCUCCAUCUCCCAUAUCAUUUAUAUGCUUUUUAAUAUGCAAAUGUGGGGAACGGCCUAAAUUGACAACCUGUUUUUUUAAGCAUGACAAUGCUAAAGACCAUUUUAUCCACAUGUGUUAUGCUAUUUGAAACUUAUAUUUCCAUUAAAAGUACAUUUAUAACAUGUUAAAGUUUUUUUGAUACCUUAACAACUUCAGAAAAUUGUGGUAAGUGAAAAAUAUUACAUUUUAUAUAAGGCCUCACUUUAUUUGAAAACCUCUAUUUUUUGGCACAGGCUCAUAUAAAAUUAACUUCUGGCCAUUUUUCAUAAGUCUGAUACAUGAAGUAUGCUUUCUGUUGCUUUAAAUAGAUGUUAACUUAUACAUAGAGACAUUAAAAAGUGUUAGUUUUGGUAUCUUUUGGUUUUUAGAAGCUCAAAUUUGAUAGUUGAAAUUGUUCUAAUUCAACGCCACAAUUCAGCACCCAAAGUUCAGAUAUAAAAAAUGCC
rnacentral:lncRNA from 1 species